rnacentral:rRNA from 1 species
UACGUAGGGGGCAAGCGUUGUCCGGAUUUAUUGGGCGUAAAGAGCGUGUAGGCGGCUAGGUAGGUCCGUUGUGAAAACUCGAGGCUCAACCUCGAGACGCCGAUGGAACCAUCUAGCUAGAGUCCGGAAGAGGAGAGUGGAAUUCCUGGUGUAGCGGUGAAAUGCGCAGAUAUCAGGAAGAACACCGAUGGCGAAGGCAGGUCUCUGGGCAUUAACUGACGCUGAGGAGCGAAAGCAUGGGGAGCGAACAGG